rnacentral:rRNA from 1 species
AGAGUUUGAUCCUGGCUCAGGAUGAACGCUGGCGGCGUGCUUAACACAUGCAAGUCGAGCGGAAAUAUUUUAAAUGAAGGCUUCGGUUGGAAUUUAUAAUAUUUUAGCGGCGGACGGGUGAGUAACGUGUGGGUAACCUGCCAUAUACUGGGGAAUAAUCAUUUGAAAAGAUGACUAAUACCGCAUGUCGUCACUAAGGGGCAUCUCUUGGUGAAAAAAGGAGUAAUCCGGUAUAUGAUGGACCCGCAUCUGAUUAGCUAGUUGGUGAGAUAUCAGCUCACCAAGGCGACGAUCAGUAGCCGACCUGAGAGGGUGAUCGGCCACAUUGGGACUGAGACACGGCCCAAACUCCUACGGGAGGCAGCAGUGGGGAAUAUUGCACAAUGGGCGAAAGCCUGAUGCAGCAACGCCGCGUGAAGGAAGAAGGGUUUCGGCUCGUAAACUUCUAUCAAUGGGGAAGAAACAAAUGACGGUACCCAAAUAAGAAGCCCCGGCUAACUACGUGCCAGCAGCCGCGGUAA